UGGUAAAUUUGCCGAAGUGUGGUGACACGGAAAAAUUUUUGGUAUGGUGGCAGCCGACGAGUGGUGUAUUUGGCCGACUGCACCCCAAAAUUUCUGGCAGCAAUUAGUUCACACAGAAAAUGCGCCUUUUCAUUUAUAAACGUUCUCUGCUUUAACACCCGGCCAAUACACCAAAUGAGUUUCCGAUAGAGGAUACAUUUACCAACUUGAUUGAAAUAAUUUUGGGCCUUAACCCAAAAACGGAGCCGUACUGCGUAUAACGUAUAAAACGUAUAUAAAUUACUAGUUACAACAGCGAAAGUCGUAUUUUGUAUUGUAAUAAUACAAUUGGUUCGCAUUACUUGUCCGGGAGCAGAAAAAGCGGUCGCAAGGAGAAUAUAUUCUACACUUUGGUAAACUUAAGUAGUUUUACUAAUUACACCAUUUGUGUGAAAGCGUAUACUGUGGAUCAUUCACUAACUAGCAAUUGUGUGCACAUACAAACUUUAAUCGGCGUUCCUUCGCGUCCAUCUCAUACAAAAAUCGAUGAUUCGAAGGAUAUCACAAUUUAUUGGCGACAACGUGUAGUGCCAUGAUUCAAUAAUACAAGGUUAGAUAAUUAUUGACAGCUGCGGUUUGACACUCCCUUACAAAAGGUUGCAUUUA